CCCCCUCGUCUGAACCCGUUGUAUUUAGCAACUACCGUAAAAUAACCAGAACAGGUGUGUUACAACACAUGGGGCAUGGAAUUUGAAGUACAUUUUCAGACUUCUCAAGUCCUACGGAACCCGUAUUUGCUUCGGAAAUUUUGCCUAAUUGUAUGGACGUUUACGGAAAUAAACAAAGACACUACGGAAAUUUAUCUUUUUUAAUCUAGGCCUAGACCCAGAAAUAUAUAGGCUUACCAUUAUUGUUGAAAGUACAGCACAGGACAAUGAUUUUUUCAUCAGGACUAUUUAUUGGCUACAUCGUCCCUACUGAUCCUGACUUUAGGCCUAGGCCUAGGCCUAGACCUGUCAGAUUACUGAUAAAUAAUUGUAAAACCCAAGAAAGUGGUGUGCUGCGUGCAGAAUAUUUACUAAGUCAUUUCAUCUCUGUAGAAAUUCUGAAGAAACCUGGACAUUGUACCUCUUCUGCAACAAGUCAACCUGCCCUGCUUGGCUGAAUGACUAUUCUUGCUGCCACUACUGAAUGAUUAUGGCAACUUGUGAUUUGGUAGUUCAAGCAACGUAUUUGAAAUAAAUAUUCAUUGUAUUUAUUUAAUAUUCUGCAAUAUUUUGAAUAAAUAUUAAUUGUAUUCAAUUUAGUAUUGAAUAAUUUAUUGUAAUAGUAUUGAAUA